UUUAAAUUCCUUCUUUUCAACUCUCCUCUCAGGUCAAGAAAUCAACAACUCAAUUCAUCUUGCACCAUGACUCAAAACCAGAGUUUUCAGGUCGUAGAAGACCUGAUUUCCUUCACCUCUUCUGACUACGAGGUGCAGAAGCUUCUGGGGAGUGGUUCCUUUGGAGAAGCGGUCCAGUGCAGGAAGGUGUCCACCAAUGAAACGGUGGCAGUAACAAAUCAGUUCAUUGAGGAGGCAAAGAAUGAGGAGGAAAUCCUAAUGAAGAUGUUGUGCAGCAGUUGGCUACAGCUCUGGAGUCGUUCAUGCAGAUCUAAAAGCUGAAAACAUCAUGAUGGUGGAUCAUGUACGGCAGCCACUGUCAGAGUCAUCGACUUUGGCUUAGCCUGCCACGAUCCCGAGGAAUGGAGGGGUGCCACUCUUCAAACGUUAUGGUACAGGUAGGUAGAUCUUCAGCAGCUAUCUGACAGCACAUCUGUAUAUCUAGGACAGCUGUAUCAGAAAGGAUGACAAAUAUUUUGCGUCCAUGUCAAAGAUCAGUAUGCUUCCAACUUGUAGGUAUCUUCACUUUUGGAAAAAUGUUCUUGAGAAGGCUUAGAUUUGACACAUAUGGUCUAGACCUGCUCUAUUUGAAAAUAUACAAAUAUUAAAUAUACAAAUAUAUAGCGAGGAGCUGAUGCGCAUCUGUCAGGCUGUGACCACAGAUGAUGACGAGGAGGGUCACCCUGCUGGGCCGAGCUUCAGGGAGCAACCCUUCCUCCAGACCACCGACAUCAGCGGGGAAAGCAGUCCAGCAAAGAAGAGGAAAAGGGAUUCAAUUCAAUUCAGUUUUAUUUGUAUAGCGCCAAUUCAUAACAGAAGUUAUCUCAUGACACUUUUCAAAUAGAGCAGGUCUAGACCAAACUCCUUAUAACAUUUAAAGAGACCCAAGUGUACCACCAUGAGCAAGCACUUGACGACGGGGGCAAGGAAAAACUGCCUUUUAGGAAGCAUAAACCUAGGACAGACCCUUCGGCUCUAGGUGGGUGGUCGUCUGACUUGACCAGUUGGGGUGAGAGAGAGAGAGAGAGAGAGAGAGAGAAAGAGAGAGAGACAGACAGACAGACAGACAGACAGACAGACAGACAGACAGAUAGGUGCACAGCAACAACAGUAGCAACAACUACACUAAUAGUAGUGACUGAUGAUAAUGAACGUGAAGAAGAUGAUGACGACGACAACAGCAACGGUGGGGGACAAUGAGCAGCGAUAAUAGUAAUAAUAGUAACUGUAGUAAUAAUAAUAUUAAUAAUAAUAAUAACAAUUAUAUCAGUGGUAUUAGCAAUGGGAGUCACCAUGGCAGGAGGCUCCACCAGGAUCCAUGAGAACCUGCGAGACGAGAAAGCACAAGAACUCGGGGAAAGAAGUAAAGUUAGUAACAUGCAUUAAUGGGAUAUGAAUGAGUGCAGAAAGAGAGAGAGAGGAAGAGAGGAGCUCAGUGCACCAUGGGAAAUCCCCCGAUAGUCUAGGCCUAUAGCAGCAUAACUAAGGGAUGGUUCAGGACUCACCUGAUCCAGCCUUAAUUAUAAGCUUUAUCAAAGAGGAACGUCUUAAGCCUACUCUUAAAUGUGGAGAUGGUGUCUGCCUCCCGAACCACAACUGGAAGCUGGUUCCACAGGAGAGGAGCUUGGUAACUGAAGGCUCUGGCUCCUGUUCUACUUUUUGAGACUAUAGGAACCACAAGUAGCCCUGCACUCAGAGAACGCAGUGUUCUAGUAAGGUAAUAGGGUACUAUGAGCUCUUUAAGAUAUGAAGGGGCCUGACCAUGAAGAGCUUUGUAGGUGAGGAGGAGGAUUUUAAAUUCUAUUCUAAAUUUUACAGGGAGCCAGUGCAGAGAAGCUAGUACAGGAGAGAUGUGAUCUCUUUUCCUAGUUCCUGGCAGUACUUGUGCUGUAGCAUUUUGAAUUAAUUGGAGCGUCUUAAUGGAUUUAUUAGGGCAGAUAUAUAAAAGAUAAUAAAGAGUUGCAGUAAUCCAGCCUAGAAGUAACAAAUGCAUAGAUUAGUUUUUCUGCAUCUGUGAUAGGAUGUGUCUAAUUUUUGUAAUAGUACGUAAAUGAAAGAAGGCAGUCCUGGAGGUUUGCUUUAUGUGGGAAUUAAAUGACAAAUCCUGAUCAAAGAUAACUCCAAGAUUCCUGACAGUGGUGCAUUAGAGUAGCUAUAGCUUUAGACAGUCUCUAAGGUUUUUGGGGCCAAGACCAAGAAUUUCGUUUUUUUCUGAGUGUAACAUCAGAAAAUUACAGCUCAUCCAGGAUUUUAUGUCCUUAAGACAUGUUUGUAAUGUAGAUAAUUGAUUAAUUUCAUCGGGCUUGAUCGAUAGACAUAACUGAAUAUCAUCUGCAUAGCAAUGAAAGUUAAUGGAGUGAUUCCUAAUAAUGUUGCCUAAAGGGAGCAUAUAUAAAGUAAAUAGUAUUGGUCCAAGUACAGAACCUUGUGGAACUCCAUGACUAACUGUAGUAUUUAUUGAAGAUUCAUCGUUAACAUGUAAAACUGCGAACAAUCUGAUAAGUAUGACUUAAACCAGCUUAGUACGGUUCCUUUAAUGCCAAUUUGAUGCUCAAGUCUCUGUAAAAGAAUAUUAUGGUCAAUGGUGUCAAAUGCAGCACUUAGUUCUAAUAAUACAAGUACAGAGACGAGUCCAUUGUCAGAAGCAAUCAAAAGGUCAUUAUUAACUUAUUAACUUAUUGACUCUGGCUACAGUGCUGAAGAGAAACCUAGGGUUAUUCUUAUUUUCUUCUAUUAGUGUUGAGUAAUAGGCUCCUCUGGCAUUACGGAGGGCCUUUCUAUAAGUUUUCAGAUUAUCAUGCCAAAUAGAGCGAUAUUCUAUUAAUUUUGAAGAGCGCCAUUUCCUUUCAGAUUUCCUUGUUUUUUGCUUCAAUUGGCAGGUUUGGUGGUUGUACCACGGUGCUAGUUUCCUAUGUUUUAAUAACUUCCUCUUUAUAGGAGCGAUAGAGUCUAAUGUUGAUUGUAGUGAGCCUGCACCAUUAUUAACAAGAUUAUCAAUUUCGGAGGGACUAAAGUUAUUGGCAUUAUUGGCAAUACAUGGCAUUGAAUUAAACACUGAAGGAAUCUCCUCCUUAAAUUUAUCUACAGCACUGUCAGAUAGGCAUCUGCUGUAGGAAGUUUUGCCUAGUGGCUUAUAAUCUAAUAAU
rnacentral:lncRNA from 15 species